rnacentral:lncRNA from 1 species
CAGAGGAGAAAUGAUUCAUUUGCCUGGCUUCUUGGGAAGCGAGAGCUUCUAGAAGAUGAAUCAAUUUUGUGAGGACUUGGCCAAUAUCAAGAUCUUCAGCACGACUCAUCAGCUCGUUGCUAAUCCAAGGACAACAAAUAACUACAAAUGCUGAGCCUGACAUUGCUGUUGGAAUUCAGCCACCCUGAAAGCCUCUGCACCCCGAGCUUUCUCCAAUUUCUGGGAUGGUACAGUGAUGGCAGGGCUUAAGAGUGCCCUAAGAAGGCCAGCUGCCUUCAAAAACAAGCUCCUUGAAGAUGUAGGUGUCACAUAAAAGCAAAAAACAAAAACUCUCCACAAUUUGGGGUGUUCAGGAAAUGUUGAUUAAUCACAUUUUUUAAAUUAUAAGAGACUGCUGGAUGUGGUUGCUCACUCCUGUAAUCCCAGCACUUUAGGAGGCCAAAGUGAGAGGAUUGCUUAAGCCCAGAAGUUCAAGACCAGCCUGGGCAACAUGGCGAAACCUCACCUCUACAAAAAUAUCUAAAAAUUAGCCAGGUGUGGUGGUGUACACCUAUAGUCCCAGCUACUUGGGAGGCUGAGGUGGGAGGAUUCCUUGAGCCCAGGA